rnacentral:misc_RNA from 1 species
GCCUGUUCGAGCGUCAUUAUAACCCUCAAGCCUAGCUUGGUGUUGGAGCAUGCUAUCUAGCAGCUCUUAAAAUCAGUGGCAGUGCCCUUCGGCUCUAAGCGUAGUAAUUCUUCUCGCUAUAGAACCCGGAUGGUACGCGCCAGAACCCCCAACUUUCUAUGGUUGACCUCGGAUCAGGUAGGGAUACCCGCUGAACUUAA